rnacentral:rRNA from 1 species
UACGGAGGGGACUAGCGUUGUUCGGAAUUACUGGGCGUAAAGCGCACGUAGGCGGAUUUGUAAGUCAGGGGUGAAAUCCCGGGGCUCAACCUCGGAACUGCCUUUGAUACUGCAAAUCUCGAGUCCGGAAGAGGUGAGUGGAAUUCCUAAUGUAGAGGUGAAAUUCGUAGAUAUUAGGAAGAACACCAGUGGCGAAGGCGGCUCACUGGUCCGGUACUGACGCUGAGACGCGAAAGCGUGGGGAGCAAACAGG